AUUUAUAUGAAUUUAAAGCAAAGGUCAAAAUCUAGAACGUCAUCUUAACCUAUGACCUUGACCUCAAUUUCAAGUUCACAAACCAAGGACCUUAAAUCAAAAGACCCUAGGUCUUUAAUAUGUUUGGUUUAUUAGUAAUAUCACUUUACGCGUAAUUCUAAAUGUAAGAUGGGCAAAAACUCCCAUUUAUUGUCUGCGCACCC
rnacentral:lncRNA from 1 species